rnacentral:rRNA from 1 species
UACGUAGGGUGCGAGCGUUAAUCGGAAUUACUGGGCGUAAAGCGUGCGCAGGCGGCUUUGCAAGACAGAUGUGAAAUCCCCGGGCUCAACCUGGGAACUGCAUUUGUGACUGCAAGGCUAGAGUACGGCAGAGGGGGAUGGAAUUCCGCGUGUAGCAGUGAAAUGCGUAGAUAUGCGGAGGAACACCAAUGGCGAAGGCAAUCCCCUGGGCCUGUACUGACGCACAUGCACGAAAGCGUGGGGAGCAAACAGG